AGCGCUAAUUGGGUGGUACAUUCCAUCUGAAGCUCAAUACUAUCUCGAGUCCGAUAGCGAACAAGUACCGUGAGGGAAAGGUGCAAAGUACUUUGGAAAGAGAGUUAAACGUGCCUGAAACCGCUGUGAUGCAAGCGUAAGGAACCUGCGCUUGGCUAGAAGAUUGGGAAAGUCUCAGCAGUCAGUUUGUGAGGUAGUGAGUGAAUGCUUGCCCUUGCGUGCUGUUCAAGUUGACGAUUCCUCCCCUCAUCUUCUGGCGUUUGCCAACACGGGUUCGUACUCGGUCAAAAGCUUAUCGUCGUUCAGCCUUCGGGUUGGACUCGGUUGUGCGGACUGGGCGCGGACUGCGUUUAUGUGGACGAGUGCUUUCUCUGGUUCCUCGUGGUGGAAGUGUUGAUGUGCGUACUGGUACGAGCGUCUUCACCAAGCCAUUAGUGCUAGUCGGUAUUCUUCACUGUGUUGGCCUGCAAGGUGUCUUACGACCCGUCUUGAAACACGGACCAAGGAGUCUAA
rnacentral:rRNA from 1 species